AAAGAGUCUAUGCCUGUCGUGGAAGCUGGCCUGGCCCCCGGAGCUCCCUGGAGUCGGUACUGGGGGCUUCGUUUUGUACGCACCGACUCCAGGGAAAUUUAGAUGGUCUAUUGAUCAACUAGCUGUAAUAAAUCCUGUAGAAAUAGACCCAGAAGAUAUUCAUCGUCAAGCUUUAUACUUAAGUCAUUCUCGAAUAGAUAAAGAUGUGGAAGACAAAAGACAAAAAGCCAUUGAAGAGUUUUUCACUAAAGAUGUCAUCGUACCCUCUCCUUGGACUGAUCAUGAAGGGAAACAGCUUUCACAAUGUCAUUCCAGUAAAUGCACUAACAUAAAUAGUGACUCUCCAGUUGGAAAAAAGCUGACCAUUCAUUCUGAGAAAAGCGAUGCUGCUUGUCAGACAUUGCUGUCUCUUCCUGUGGAUUUUAAUUUAGAAAAUAUAUUAGGUGACUAUUUUAGAGCUGAUGAAUUUGCAGAUCAAUCUCCUGGAAACCUCAGUUCUUCAUCCCUCAGAAGAAAGCUGUUUUUAGAUGGGAACGGAAGCAUCUCCGACUCCUUACCUUCGGCUUCUCCCGGAAGUCCUCACAGUGGUGUUCAAACAUCACUAGAGAUGUUUUAUUCAAUAGAUUUGUCUCCUGUAAAGUG
rnacentral:lncRNA from 1 species